CCUACGGGAGGCAGCAGUGAGGAAUUUUCCGCAAUGGGCGAAAGCCUGACGGAGCAAUGCCGCGUGGAGGAAGAAGGCCUGUGGGUUGUAAACUCCUUUUCUCGGGGAUGCGGUACCUGAGGAAUAAGCAUCGGCUAACUCUGUGCCAGCAGCCGCGGUAAUACAGAGGAUGCAAGCGUUAUCCGGAAUGAUUGGGCGUAAAGGGUCUGUAGGUUCUCUCUCCAGUCUGCUGUUAAAGAUCAGGGCUUAACCCUGUAAAGGCAGUAGAAACUAAGAGGGUAGAGUACGGUAGGGGCAGAGGGAAUUCCCGGUGUAGCGGUGAAAUGCGUAGAUAUCGGGAAGAACACCGAUGGCGAAAGCACUCUGCUGGGCCGAACUGACACUGAGGGACGAAAGCUAGGGGAGCGAAAGGGAUUAGAUACCCUUGUAGUC
rnacentral:rRNA from 1 species